rnacentral:rRNA from 1 species
UACGUAGGGGGCAAGCGUUGUCCGGAAUCAUUGGGCGUAAAGCGCGUGUAGGCGGCCCGGUAAGUCCGUUGUGAAAACUCGAGGCUCAACCUCGAGACGCCGGUGGAAACCGUAAAGCUAGAGUCCGGAAGAGGAGAGUGGAAUUCCUGGUGUAGCGGUGAAAUGCGCAGAUAUCAGGAAGAACACCCGUGGCGAAGGCGGCUCUCUGGGACGGUACUGACGCUGAGACGCGAAAGCGUGGGGAGCGAACAGG